rnacentral:lncRNA from 1 species
GUCUAGCAGGUAGAAACUUGGGUGGAGUCCGUCCGUCAUGAAGAAUCCGAUCGACACUGGUGGGGGUUUAUCCGUCGGCAGAACUUGGGAACGUUGCAGAGGCUCGGCCAUCGGAGAGGUUCAGAAAGAUGUCGCCAAAGGUCGGACGUUGGUAGAACCCCCUGAGGGUCACUCCUGAUACGAACUUCGGCUGGGGGGGUAUUUUAUGCCCAAUAAUAGAUUUCUAGCUGAGGCAGUUUGAAGUACAAUAGAAGUGGUUGCUGCACAAUCCUCGAGAUGAAGGGAGGCUGACUGUUAUAUCCUUCAUAGAGCAGCAUCGGGGAGCUAUUAUUAUUGAUGAUCUUUUCUAUUUUCUAAUCCAACUGCUAGUCGAGCUCU